GCGCGCGUAGCUCAGCGGUAGUAGCACCGCCCUUAUAAGACGGGGGUCCCUGGUUCGAAUCCAGGCGCGCGCA
rnacentral:tRNA from 1 species